UACGUAGGGGGCUAGCGUUGUCCGGAAUCAUUGGGCGUAAAGAGCGUGUAGGCGGCCCGGUAAGUCCGCUGUAAAAGUCAAAGGCUCAACCUUUGAAUGUCAGUGGAUACUGUCGGGCUAGAGUCCGGAAGAGGCGAGUGGAACUCCUGGUGUAGCGGUGGAAUGCGCAGAUAUCAGGAAGAACACCAACGGCGAAGGCAGCUCGCUAGGACGGUACUGACGCUGAGACGCGAAAGCGUGGGGAGCGAACAGG
rnacentral:rRNA from 1 species